rnacentral:rRNA from 1 species
UACAGGGGGGGCAAGCGUUGUUCGGAAUUACUGGGCGUAAAGGGCUCGUAGGCGGCCAACUAAGUCACACGUGAAAUCCCCAGGCUCAACCUGGGAACUGCGUGUGAUACUGGAUGGCUUGAAUUCGGGAGAGGGAUGCAGAAUUCCAGGUGUAGCGGUGAAAUGCGUAGAUAUCUGGAGGAAUACCGGUGGCGAAGGCGGCAUCCUGGACCGGUAUUGACGCUGAGGCGCGAAAGCUAGGGGAGCAAACGGG